UGGCGGCAUGCCUUACACAUGCAAGUCGAACGGCAGCAUGGAAGAGCUUGCUCUUCUGAUGGCGAGUGGCGAACGGGUGAGUAAAGCAUCGGAACGUACCGUGUAGUGGGGGAUAACGUAGCGAAAGUUACGCUAAUACCGCAUACGCACUGAGGUGGAAAGCAGGGGAUCGCAAGACCUUGCGCUAUACGAGCGGCCGAUGUCAGAUUAGCUAGUUGGUAGGGUAAAGGCCUACCAAGGCGACGAUCUGUAGCGGGUCUGAGAGGAUGAUCCGCCACACUGGGACUGAGACACGGCCCAGACUCCUACGGGAGGCAGCAGUGGGGAAUUUUGGACAAUGGGCGAAAGCCUGAUCCAGCCGUGCCGCGUGAGUGAAGAAGGCCUUCGGGUUGUAAAGCUCUUUCGGCUGGGAAGAAAUCGCACAGGCUAAUACUCUGUGUGGAUGACGGUACCAGCACAAGAAGCACCGGCUAACUACGUG
rnacentral:rRNA from 1 species